UGGGGAAUAUUGGACAAUGGGGGCAACCCUGAUCCAGCAAUACCGCGUGUGUGAAGAAGGCCUGCGGGUUGUAAAGCACUUUCGUUGGGGAAGAAAGACCAUUUGUGAAUAGCAGGUGGAGUUGACGUUACCCAAAUAAGAAGCACCGGCUAACUCUGUGCCAGCAGCCGCGGUAAUACAGAGGGUGCGAGCGUUAAUCGGAUUUACUGGGCGUAAAGCGCACGUAGGUGGUUAGCAAAGUCGGAUGUAAAAUACCUGGGCUCAACCUGGGAAGGUCAUCCGAUACUGGUUGACUGGAGUAUAGUAGAGGGAAGCGGAAUUUCCGGUGUAGCGGUGAAAUGCGUAGAUAUCGGAAGGAACACCAGUGGCGAAAGCGGCUUUCUGGACUGAUACUGACACUAAGGUGCGAAAGCGUGGGGAGCAAACAG
rnacentral:rRNA from 1 species